rnacentral:rRNA from 1 species
AUUCCAGCUCCAAUAGCGUAUAUUAAAGUUGUUGCAGUUAAAAAGCUCGUAGUUGAAUUUCUGGUCUCGGACAGCGGUCUGCCUCAAACGAGGUACGCACCACCUGUUCAGGUCCAUCCUCGGAGAAAACAUGCCUGUGAUUCAGUUCAUGGGUAUGGGAUCUUCGUCAUUUACUGUGAGCAAAAUAUAGUGUUCAAAGCAGGCUUAUGCCGUUGAAUACAUUAGCAUGGAAUAAUAAAAUAAGACCUUGGUCUAUUUUGUUGGUUUGUACUUCAAGGUAAUGAUUAAUAGGGAUAGUUGGGGGUAUUCGUAUUCAAUUGUCAGAGGUGAAAUUCUUGGAUUUAUGGAAGACGAACUACUGCGAAAGCAUUUACCAAGGAUGUUUUCAUUA